rnacentral:tRNA from 1 species
GGGGCUGGGGCUCAGUGGUAGAGCGCUCACCUAGCAAGUGGAAAACACUGGGUUCGAUCGUCAGCACCA